AGAGAGAGACAUGCGCGCAUAUCAAUAAGCGGAGGAAAAGAAACUAACAAGGAUUCCCUUAGUAACGGCGAGUGAAGCGGGAAGAGCUCAAAUUUGAAAUCUUCAAGGUUUUACCUUGACGAAUUGUAGUUUAAAGAAGUGUUUUCUGCUGAAGUUUUGGUAAAAGUUCUUUGGAAUAGGACAUCAUAGAGGGUGAGAAUCCCGUAUUUGACCAUUAUUUUCAGCUUUGUGAUACACUUUCAAAGAGUCGGAUUGUUUGGGAAUGCAGUCCAAAAUGGGUGGUAAAUUUCAUCUAAAGCUAAAUAUUGGCGAGAGACCGAUAGCGAACAAGUACCGUGAGGGAAAGAUGAAAAGAACUUUGAAAAGAGAGUUAAACAGUACGUGAAAUUGUCAAAAGGGAAGCGUUUGACACCAGUGUUGUUUUCUCGAAAAUCAAUUAAAAUGGCUCGAUUUUGUAUUGCUUGAGACCUUAAAAGCUCACUGUACAUUUUUCGUGUACUUUUCUUAAUGCACUUUUCGUUUAACAAGUCAACAUCAGUUUCUUUUGUUGUAAAAGGGUCAUUGGAAGGUGGCUUUCUUUUCGGAGAAAGUGUUUAUAGCCUUUGGCCUCUGCAAUCGGAGAGACUGAGGUCUGCAGCGUAGACUCUUCGGGGUUAGAUACAUUUGUGCUAAGUUAUAGCUUUUUAUAGACAACUUGUUGACUAUAAUUAGUCUUGUAGCUUACUCGCUUAUGCUAUUUUACCUACGCUUAGGAUGUUGAAGAUGUAGCACAUCAU
rnacentral:rRNA from 1 species